UCCCUGGUGGUCCAAUGGUUAGGACUCUGUGCUCCUAAUGCAGGUGGUCAGGGUUCGGUCCCUGACUGGGGAA
rnacentral:tRNA from 1 species